rnacentral:siRNA from 1 species
UGCCAGACACUGGGUGUGGUCGAG